rnacentral:rRNA from 1 species
GGGUGCGAUCAUACUAGCACUAAUGCACCGGAUCCCAUCAGAACUCCGAAGUUAACCGUGCUUGGGCGAAAGUAGUACAAGGAUGGGUGACCUCAAGGAAAGUCCUCAUGUUGCACCCCC